rnacentral:rRNA from 1 species
GUGGGGAAUAUUGGACAAUGGGCGCAAGCCUGAUCCAGCCAUGCCGCGUGAGUGAUGAAGGCCUUAGGGUUGUAAAGCUCUUUUGUCCGGGAAGAUAAUGACUGUACCGGAAGAAUAAGCCCCGGCUAACUUCGUGCCAGCAGCCGCGGUAAUACGAAGGGGGCUAGCGUUGUUCGGAAUCACUGGGCGUAAAGCGCACGUAGGCGGACCAUUAAGUCAGGGGUGAAAGCCUGGAGCUCAACUCGAGAACUGCCUGUGAUACUGAUGGGCUCGAGUAUGGAAGAGGUUGGUGGAACUGCGAGUGUAGAGGUGAAAUUCGUAGAUAUUCGCAAGAACACCGGUGGCGAAGGCGGCCAACUGGUCCAUUACUGACGCUGAGGUGCGAAAGCGUGGGGAGCAAACAGGAUUAGAAACCCCAGUAGUCC